rnacentral:rRNA from 1 species
UUCAACGUGAGAGUUUGAUCCUGGCUCAGAGCGAACGCUGGCGGCAGGCUUAACACAUGCAAGUCGAGCGGGCCCUUCGGGGUCAGCGGCGGACGGGUGAGUAACGCGUGGGAAC